GGAGACUGCCGGUGAUAAACCGGAGGAAGGUGGGGACGACGUCAAGUCAUCAUGGCCCUUACGAGUAGGGCUACACACGUGCUACAAUGGCGCAUACAGAGGGCGGCCAACUUGCGAAAGUGAGCGAUCCCAAAAAGUGCGUCGUAGUCCGGAUUGGAGUCUGCAACUCGACUCCAUGAAGUCGGAAUCGCUAGUAAUCGUGGAUCAGAAUGCCACGGUGAAUACGUUCCCG
rnacentral:rRNA from 1 species